AACGCACAUUGCGCUCUCUGGUAUUCCGGGGAGCAUGCUUGUUUGAGUACCGUUUCAACCCCUCACCCGCGCCAUCAUGAACGGCGCGACGUGGAUGCUGGCCGGAAUUUUGUCACCGAAACCGGCUGAAAAACAGUGAUCGGGAUGUACCCGCGGGCAUUUUAUGGGAUUCGGGCCAAAUUUCUAGUGCCCGGCCGCCGACAAGACGAGGACUAGUGUGGGAUUUCGAUCUCCUUUCCGCCGUCAAAGGCAGCCGGACCGGCCAGACCCAGUGCCCCGCACGCUUAUCAGCAGACAUUUUCCCGACCCAACCUGAAACAUGCCAGGCGCGGACUUGCACCGCGAACACCUGAACCUCUGGUCUCAAAUCAAGCAAGAGAACCCGCUGAACUUAA
rnacentral:misc_RNA from 1 species